rnacentral:rRNA from 1 species
CCUACGGGAGGCAGCAGUGAGGAAUAUUGGUCAAUGGGCUUACGCCUGAACCAGCCAAGUCGCGUGAGGGAAGACUGCCCUAUGGGUUGUAAACCUCUUUUGUCAGGGAGCAAUUGGCGCUACGUGUAGCGUUAUCGAGAGUACCUGAAGAAAAAGCAUCGGCUAACUCCGUGCCAGCAGCCGCGGUAAUACGGAGGAUGCGAGCGUUAUCCGGAUUUAUUGGGUUGAAAGGGUGCGUAGGCGGAAUGCCAAGUCAGCGGGAAAAUCGCGGGGCUCAACCUCGCUCCGCCGUUGAAACUGGCGUUCUUGAGUGGGCGAGAAGUAUGCGGAAUGCGUGGUGUAGCGGUGAAAUGCAUAGAUAUCACGCAGAACUCCGAUUGCGAAGGCAGCAUACCGGCGCCCAACUGACGCUGAAGCACGAAAGCGUGGGUAUCGAACAGGAUUAGAUACCCGAGUAGUC